UGGUUCCUAGCACCCACAUGACAGCU
rnacentral:misc_RNA from 1 species